GAGCGGGGGCGGGGCCCUGGGGGCGGGCUCUGCGGCCUGUGGCUGCAGAGGGACGCAAGAGCAUAAACUGAAAUCCCACAUCCCCGUGGAGGAACUUGGGGAUAAGAUGCAAAGCGCAGCAAAUAGGAGCCACUCUUUCAGAGAUGACAGACCACCUGGUUUCGAGGAGCAGCAGACAGCGUGAAUGAAUGAAGUUGGCCAGGUAAAGAACUGAAAUGCAGACAGGAAAUGGGACUUGCCUGACAUGGAGCAGGUGGUAGGUGGCAGAGGAAGAUUGGCCACUCCAUAACCUGUGCUCUCUCCAAUUCUCUGGACUAACUGUCCAUACAGAUGAUUGCCCUGGGACUGAGCUUAGGGAUUUCCAAACUCUUGCUAUUUAACAACUGUCAAAGACUGAGAAACAGGGCUUAUAUUUUAUUCAAGCUACCCAGAAUAGGGCCUCUCUCUAAUCUAUACUUCCUUUUCGGGGAAGAGAUAUUUGGCUUCAGGCAGCAGUAGCGCCUGCUCCCUAGGGAAGUGGUUAGAGGUACCCACUUCCCCAUAUCAGCAGAAACAAAACAGGCAGGAGUCUCUCUGCUUGAGGAUCUGCCUAAAUAGGGAAGUGAGAAUUGGCAACCACUUCUCCCUCCACCAAUGGGAAUCCUAGAUGGAGGGAACUGGGUGGGAGAUGGCAGGGGUGGGCAGAGUGGCAGCAUUUCUGUUUCUUAAAUCCAUAACUCCAUCUUCAGACACUUGAUUCCACAGCCAUGUUCUGUGUGUUGACUGGAAUCACCUGGGAAGUUUUAGUCCUGUGAUACCACCUGGAACCACGGACAGAGUGAGGACACAGCAAGAAGAUGAUCAUCUGCAAGCCAAGAAGAGGGGUCUCACCAGAAUCCGCAAAGCUGGCAAGUAGAGC
rnacentral:lncRNA from 10 species